rnacentral:rRNA from 1 species
AACGAACGCUGGCGGCAGGCUUAACACAUGCAAGUCGAACGAGAUCUUCGGAUCUAGUGGCAGACGGGUGAGGAACACGUGGGAACAUCCCUUUCAGUUCGGAAUAACGUUGGGAAACUAACGCUAAUACCGGAUACGUCCUUCGGGAGAAAGAUUUAUCGCUGAAAGAUUGGCCCGCGUCUGAUUAGCUAGUUGGUGAGGUAAUGGCUCACCAAGGCUACGAUCAGUAGCUGAUCUGAGAGGAUGAUCAGCCACAUUGGGACUGAGACACGGCCCAAACUCCUACGGGAGGCAGCAGUGGGAAAAAUAGGACAACGGGCGCAAGCCUGAUCCAGCCAUGCCGCGUGAGUGAUGACGGCCUUCGGGUUGUAAAGCUCUUUUGUCCGGGAAGAUAAUGACUGUACCGGAAGAAUAAGCCCCGGCAAACUUCGUGCCAGCCGCCGCGGUAACAC